UAACUCUUUUAGGUGAGAAGAUACAGGUU
rnacentral:piRNA from 1 species